rnacentral:rRNA from 1 species
GGAUAACCUGCCCUUGGGUCCGGCAUAACCCCGGGAAACUGGGGAUAAUUCCGGAUAACGCACAUAUGCUGGAAUGCUUUAUGCGUCAAAUGGAUUCGUCUGCCCAAGGAUGGGUCUGCGGCCUAUCAGGUAGUAGUGGGUGUAAUGUACCUACUAGCCGACGACGGGUACGGGUUGUGAGAGCAAGAGCCCGGAGAUGGAUUCUGAGACAUGAAUCCAGGCCCUACGGGGCGCAGCAGGCGCGAAAACUUUACAAUGCGGGAAACCGUGAUAAGGGGACACCGAGUGCCAGCGUCAUACGCUGGCUGUCCAGAUGUGUAAAAUACAUCUGUUAGCAAGGGCCGGGCAAGACCGGUGCCAGCCGCCGCGGUAACACCGGCGGCCCGAGUGGUGAUCGUGAUUAUUGGGUCUAAAGGGUCCGUAGCCGGUUUGGUCAGUCCUCCGGGAAAUCUGAUAGCUUAACUGUUAGGCUUUCGGGGGAUACUGCCAGACUUGGAACCGGGAGAGGUAAGAGGUACUACAGGGGUAGGAGUGAAAUCUUGUAAUCCCUGUGGGACCACCUGUGGCGAAGGCGUCUUACCAGAACGGGUUCGACGGUGAGGGACGAAAGCUGGGGGCACGAACCGGAUUAGAUACCCGGGUAGUCCCAGCCGUAAACGAUGCUCGCUAGGUGUCAGGCAUGGCGCGACCGUGUCUGGUGCCGCAGGGAANCCGUGAANCGAGCCACCUGGGAAGUACNGCCGCAAGGCUGAAACUUAA